CGGCUAACUCCGUGCCAGCAGCCGCGGUAAUACGGAGGGUGCGAGCGUUAAUCGGAAUUACUGGGCGUAAAGGGCACGCAGGCGGUUAAUUAAGUUGGAUGUGAAAUCCCCGGGCUUAACCUGGGAAUGGCAUUCAAGACUGGUUAGCUAGAGUCUUGUAAAGGGGGGUAGAAUUCCAUGUGUAGCGGUGAAAUGCGUAGAGAUAUGGAGGAAUACCGGUGGCGAAGGCGGCCCCCUGGACAAAGACUGACGCUCAUGUGCGAAAGCGUGGGGAGCAAACAGGAUUAGAUACCCUGGUAGUCCACGCUGUAAACGAUGUCGAUUUGGAGGUUGUGGUCAUGAACUGUGGCCUCCGGAGCUAACGCGUUAAAUCGACCGCCUGGGGAGUACGGCCGCAAGGCUAAAACUCAAAUGAAUUGACGGGGGCCCGCACAAGCGGUGGAGCAUGUGGUUUAAUUCGAUGCAACGCGAAAAACCUUACCUACUCUUGACAUCCAGCGAAUCCUUUAGAAAUAGAGGAGUGCCUUCGGGAGCGCUGAGACAGGUGCUGCAUGGCUGUCGUCAGCUCGUGUUGUGAAAUGUUGGGUUAAGUCCCGCAACGAGCGCAACCCUUAUCCUUUGUUGCCAGCG
rnacentral:rRNA from 1 species